rnacentral:rRNA from 1 species
GACGAACGCUGGCGGCGUGCCUAAUACAUGCAAGUAGGACGCAGUUGCGAACGAGUGAGGAACGCGUAGGCAACUGCCUCGUAGAGGGGGAUAACUAUUGGAAACGAUAGCUAAUACCGCAUACUAGGUGAUGGACCUGCGUUGUAUUAGCUAGUAGGUGUGGUCAUGCCGUACCUAGGCGACGAUACAUAGCCGACCAGAGGGGGGGAUCGGCCACAAGGGGACUGGGACACGGCCCAGACUCCUACGGGAGGCAGCAGUAGGGAAUAUGAGGAAAUGGGGGCAACCCUGACCGAGCAACGCCGCGUGAGUGAAGAAGGGUUUCGGAUCGUAAAGCUAUGUUGUUAAGGAAGCGGUACUUAACCAAAAAGGGACGGCUAACUACGUGCCAGCAGCCGCGGUAAUUC